GGGGAGUGGGUGGGUGCAGGGAGAGCAUAAGAGAGACUUCCAGCUUAGGAGGAGGGGAAGGUUACUGGAGGGGUGAUAAACAGGGUGAAACAGGAAGCUGAGACGGAGAGGACAGUGAAAAACUGUGGCAACCAGAGCUGAGGAACUCCAAAGCUGAGAAUCAUGUGAAAUCUGCUGUGUGCUCCAAGGAGCAGAAAUGGAUUCUGGGUUCACUGUAUCUAGGGAUCCCAUUUGCAUCCUGAACAGUCAAGAGGGCCAAGUCCUUGCUAUCUGAAGGCUGAGAAGGUGUGGAGAGGGUGUCUUCAUGUCUUACCCUUUGACAGACUCUUUUCUGGACACUCCAUUGAUUCUACUAAGGGUGGUUCCUGGUCCUGAUCCAAACCCAAUUAAGUACGGGCUUGGAGAAAAUGUUGAAGCCAUGGAUUUUCUUCAGCAACUUUUCAGCCAGAAACUCCACCAGGAAGCCUCCAAGCCUCUUAAACAGAUGUGCAAAAGACUCUGUGAUCAAAGCAUCCUGUGAUGGGAACUGAGACUACUCCUUCAAAUAACAUGGACUGCCCUGAGCCAGCAAGAUCUGGCAUGAUGGACCCCAAAACAAUGAUGAUCUGACCUUUACUGCCCACCUGCAUGUACCCACUGACCUUUGUCCCACAUUUUCCUUAUAUAAACUUGGAAGUAUUCUCAGCACUUUGGAGACAGUCUUUGAGAUGCUAGCCCACUGUCUUCCUGGUGUUGGCCUCACUGAAAUAAAUUCCUUUCUUG